rnacentral:tRNA from 1 species
GUGGUGGCUCAGUGGUAGAGUGCUUGCCUUGCACAUGUGAGGCCCUGGGUUCGAUUCUCAGCACCACA